UUUCCAGACUCCUACGGGAGGCAGCAGUGGGGAAUAUUGCACAAUGGGGGAAACCCUGAUGCAGCAACGCCGCGUGAGUGAAGAAGUCAUUCGUGAUGUAAAGCUCUAUCAGCAGGGAAGAAAAUGACGGUACCUGAGUAAGAAGCCCCGGCUAACUACGUGCCAGCAGCCGCGGUAAUACGUAGGGGGCAAGCGUUAUCCGGAUUUACUGGGUGUAAAGGGGGCGCAGACGGCGAUGCAAGCCAGGAGUGAAAGCCCGGGGCCCAACCCCGGGACUGCUCUUGGAACUGCGUGGCUGGAGUGCAGGAGGGGCAGGCGGAAUUCCUGGUGUAGCGGUGAAAUGCGUAGAUAUCAGGAGGAACACCGGUGGCGAAGGCGGCCUGCUGGACUGCAACUGGCGUUGAGGCCCGAAAGCGUGGGGAGCAAACAGGAUUAGAUACCCCUGUAAA
rnacentral:rRNA from 1 species